GCCAUGGUACGGAAAGUGUAAAUAUUUUACCAAUAGCGGAAAGUAAAGGCUUUCCUAGUUGGGACAGCAUAUAGGGAAACGUUAAGGAUUAUAGGCACCGGAGAGGUAACCCGGCUUGAGGGGUUGGUUAAAGGGAAAGGCGAGACUUAGGGCGAGACCGAGCGGGGCUAAUUGAGGCGACCCGGGGAGGGGCGGGACCGCGGACUGGAUUUCGACUUCCAAAUUCCCACGAGGUAUAGGAGUCUGAGGGUUGCACAGGACCUUAUGCAUUGUUUGACUCCUCCAGAGCCUUUAGAGAAACUUCUAUCAGGCCCGCCUGCUAGGCACUAGUCGGGGAGAUAAUGUAGCCAGGGAGAUGUGGCGGACAGAAAGGGCAGAGAGGCUCUCUGAGGAGCGGAUGGAGGAUCGUGGGCCGCUUUACUGAGAAGGAAGAGACCCUGCGAGAAGGAGUAGUGUCGACUUGGUCCCGUCAGCCGGACCCCACCUGGACGGCUGGGGCCACUUGUGGUCGCCGGGAGGCAUCCUCGCGAUAUCUUAAGCUGCGACUCAGAAAACAAAUCCUACUCCUGGCAUCAUCCACAGAACCAGCUGUUCACACCCCACAUCCUCCUCAGCUUUCUGGAGUCUCAGCCUUAGGCUGGAAGCAAGGAUGGGCGCCAUUCCUGAGGAAGAGAACCGCUGGACAUGGGUUCUCUGAGGAUGGGGUAAUUUCCUAUUUGUAUGCCUGUUCCCUAGGCCAAGGGUGCUGGUGAGUGGAGAAGGACAGGGUGGGGGAGACUCAGCAGGGACCAGGCAAGCAGCUGUGUGUCAAGAGGAGGGUGUGUAGGUGCUCGUGAGCUGAUUGAACUAACCGAAUUAGUGUCUUAACUGAACUGACAGACGCUUGCCAGAGACGGCCUCCUUAGCCCACACCGUCUAUAUUUGAACCUCAUGUCUCCAUGUCUUCCACCUUUGUCCUCAGAGACACGCUCACCUUUGCCUCCCACCUUAUGACACCUGGCUCUGGUCUGUAUUUGGUAUCUCCUUUUGUUCUCACCUUCUGAGCUUUCAUGCAGAUCACUGGCAUGUCAGUGACAUAUCUGUCCAUAUUUUGAUUAAAUGAAGAGUUACACCUACUAAGUGCCAGGUGCCAAUCACAGCUAUCUCGGCAUGUUUGCUCCCAAAGGACACAGACAACACUCAGAGGGUUCUAAAACUGAGUUGAGGAGGUGUGGGUUUCAGCAAUGAGACAGAAUUUUAAAAUAAACCAACCUCUAUUUUAUUAAAAUGUAGAGUUUGGGGACUGCAGGAGGGAAGCAGUGUUUCUCAAAGUUCUAGGAGUACUCAGCAACCCCCAGAGGGUUUCUUUAAAAGCACCAGCUGGGAACCUGCAUUUUGACCAAGUUCUCUGUGGGUUUCCGUCCCUCAGAAGGUUGAGAAUCACUGGCUGAGGGAUGCAGUGGAGACUGGGGCUGUCUUGAUCCUUCUGGCUUAUUUGGGUUCCAGGGAGUGACUCGCUUGACUUUUUUUGAACAAGCUAAGCGGAUUCAUUUGUAGGUUCCUGGCAUUCCUUCCUUUGGUUCGCUGAGGCGCUGCAAGAGUUAGUAGAGUUACAGGUGGGGGAGUAACUGAGACAAGGCCCAGGCCAUGUGAGUGCCAUCCCACACCUGAGCACUUCCCAGAGCCAAGUCCAGAGCUGAGCCCAGACUCAGCCUGGACACAGAACUGCUCAACACAACGUCCUCCCAAGUCCCAGGGGCUCUGCUUCUCUUCCUGCGAAUCUGCCUUUUGCCUGACCUCACAAAAGACUUCCUCUUCCCUCCCCUCAUUCUUUGCUCCUUCCCACCCAUCCAUGUUUCCUCAGCCCUAGCCCCAUCUAGUCUCUUUCCCAGAGGCCGCAUUGUAAGCCCUCCUGUCGUCUCCAGCAUGUUAGAUGCCUGUGUGAGUCUGUUCAUGUGCAUCUCGGUGUACACGUGUACCAGCAUGGUUUUUUGUUUCGUUUUGUUUUGUUUUUUAAGAUGGAGUCUCGCUGUGUCCCCAGGCUGGAGUGCAGUGGCGCAAUCUUGGCUCACUGCAAGCUCUGCCUCCUGCGUUCACACCACUCUCCUGCCUCAGCCUCCUGAGUAGCUGGGACUACAGGCGCCCGCCACCAUGCCCGGCUAAUUUUUUGUAUUUUUAGUAGAGAUGGGGUUUCACCAUGUUAGCCAGGAUGGUCUCAAUCUCCUGACCUCGUGAUCUGCCCACCUCGGCCUCUCAAAGUGCUGGGAUUACAGGCGUGAGCCACUAUGCCCGGCCUGUACCAGCGUGUUUUUAGCUGUGCAGGAACAGACCCUGAGCAAGGGGAGGGCAUAGCACUCAGAGUCAAGGCUAAGAUUGUCCAGCUACAGAAAGCAUUUGGGAUCUGCAGACACACACAGCUCUCCCACCUGUCAGACAGAGAACCCAGGGGACAUGCUUGUAAGACAAAGCUGAAAAAAAUCUCAGAGAAGGGGGGCUGCUGGGUUUUGAGGGAUGCAAUCUUCUAGCAUCUCAAACCAUGGAGGGAAGAUGAGCAGCCCUCCCUCACAUGCCGAGAGGACGCCCCAGUGGGCUCAGAGAUGAACAGGCCGUCAGUGCUAGGCAGACCAGGAGAAUGGGACAUGAGGUCAGGCCUAGUUAUGAACCCAGAUGGGGCUGUGCGCCAGACAGCAUGGCCAGGGGAGCCGGUGAGGUCGGCAGGACCACAAAGAGGUGAGUGAGCCAGCACCACGCAGCAGGUGGAUGUGAGGAUCCAUGGUGGGCCAGGAGCAGGUGGCCCGAGAAAAGGUGCACUUCAGGGAGUGGAGCAAUGUCCAGGAGGGCACGCCCAAAGGAGGCAGCACGGCCACCACCCUGAGGUAGCAGCCUGGGCAGGGACAGAGAACUUUUGUUAGAGACCAGCAGAUCCUCAUGCCAAAAUAGCGGACCCCAAGACAAUGCAGGGAGCCCCCACACUGAGACAUCAGGAGCAGCCUGACACGCAGGGAGGUGGUGGCAGCCUGGGAUGUGGGUAAAGAAGACAGCACAGCAGGCUCUGCCUCUGCACCUG
rnacentral:lncRNA from 10 species